UUGACCUCGGAUCAGGUAGGAAUACC
rnacentral:ncRNA from 30 species